CAUCCCUAAUUCUUGAAGAUGGUUUCUCAUAUAAUGCCAUUAUACUUUGUCUAAUUUUUGUUCCCAAGACCGAAGCCUUCCAAAUUCUUUUCCUGGAAUGUCCACGAAACCCUGCCAAAUGCUUUUUCCACAUCUGUGGUACAAAACCUGCUUGGUCCGAGUGUAUAAGUUUGG